CUGCAGCUCAAGUGGUGACCACUAUUAUUGGGCCUAAAACGUUCGUAGCCGGUUUGGUAAAUGCCUGGGUAAAUCGUGUAGCUUAACUAUACGAAUUCCGGGUAGACUGCCAAACUUGAGACCGGGAGAAGCUAGAGGUACUCCUGGGGUAGAGGUGAAAUUCUGUAAUCCUGGGGGGACCACCAGUGGCGAAGGCGUCUAGCUAGAGCGGGUCUGACGGUGAGGGACGAAACCCUGGGGCGCGAACCGGAUUAGAUACCCGAGUAGUCC
rnacentral:rRNA from 1 species